CUGGGAGUUGAAGUUUUACAACAUCUGGAGGACUACCAGUUUGAGACCCCUGCUCUAUAAGAAUCAUAUGUCAAUAUAAAAGGAACUGCAGAAGAAGAGUAGAAGAGGUUUGCUAUGGGGAUAUGCUUCUAAACUGGGUGGUUCCCAAGACACGUGUCAUCAGAGAGCACUUAGACAGAAAAGAACAACUCAACUUUAGCAGCUUAUAAACACCAUAGGGAAGGAGAGGGGAGCAGUCAAACUCACCACCACGCGAGGAUCCCACCUGUGCAAUCACACGUCGAGACAAUAUUGAAGAAAAUGAUGCAUGCCUAUGUGGAGAAAAAAAGAAAGUGAGAAAGGGAAAAAACAUGGGAGAGAAGGGUGACAAGAGUUAAGAGGCAAAGAGAACAGAAAGACAGCAGCAACCACAAGAGGACAGCUACAAGGGGACUACAAGAAGAGGUCAUAAGGACCAAAAAUACG